rnacentral:rRNA from 1 species
GACGUAGGGCGCGAGCGUUGUCCGGAUUUAUUGGGCGUAAAGAGCUCGUAGGCGGUCUGUCGCGUCUGCCGUGAAAACCCGAGGCUUAACCUCGGGCUGGCGGUGGAUACGGGCAGACUAGAGGUAGGUAGGGGAGAAUGGAAUUCCUGGUGUAGCGGUGGAAUGCGCAGAUAUCAGGAGGAACACCAAUGGCGAAGGCAGCUCGCUGGGACGGUACUGACGCUGAGACGCGAAAGCGUGGGGAGCAAACAGG